AUUUCAGCAGUGAAGCUGUAACUUCUGAACCAAAACUGGAUCAGGAUAAGAGAUCAGACUCACCUGAACCCAGCUGUGUCUCCAUGAAGAGUGACCAGUCAAUGGGCAGAAUAAUAAACUUCAGAGAGGACAACAGUUCUGCUGAUCUCAGAGUCCAGAAGGAGACUCCAGAAAUCAGCAGGAGAAAUAUGGACUUCAUAUUAAAGGUGUGUAGGUGUGACUAAUGCCAGAGCACAUGUGAACACUGUAAAAUGUGAUUUAAACUUUAAAUAUGAAGUGAUAAAUAUAAUUAUUCAUUUUAAUAAACAUAUUUUCAGAUUACA